rnacentral:rRNA from 1 species
UGGGGAAUUUUGCACAAUGGGGGAAACCCUGAUGCAGCGACGCCGCGUGAUUUAGAAGGCCUUCGGGUUGUAAAAAUCUUUUUUACGGGAUGAAAAUGACAGUACCGUAAGAAUAAGGUCCGGCUAAAUACGUGCCAGCAGCCGCGGUAAUACGUAUGGACCGAGCGUUGUCCGGAAGCAUUGGGCGUAAAGGGUACGUAGGCGCCCUAGUAAGUUAGAAGUGAAAUAAUAUAGCUCAACUAUAUAAAGCUUUUAAAACUGCUAGGCUUGAGAGAUGGAAGGGAAAGUGGAAUUCCUAGUGUAGCGGUGAAAUGCGCAGAUAUUAGGAAGAAUACCGGUGGCGAAGGCGACUUUCUGGUCAUCAUCUGACGCUGAGGUACGAAAGCGUGGGUAGCAAACAGG